rnacentral:lncRNA from 1 species
GACUCCAUGGGAUCGUUAGCCUUUUUCGAAGUAAUGUGCUCAACCGAUGGUUUUAUGGCUAAAAGUUUUGUAGGACACUUCAAGUAAGAAAAAAUUCAAGAAAAACAAAGACGGAGUAAAACGAAAACAGUUUAUUAAAUUUCUAGUAAAUUGAUGAACUUAGACGAAGGUCGCCGAAAUCCGACAUAAGCUAAACAGAGCAGACUACUCAUUUAGCAGCUUGGAUGACCUUGGGCUCUCAA